CAACAGUUAUUAGAUGCUUCUGGUCAUUUACAAAUGACAUUUUCAUUUCUUAAUAAUUAAAGUUGAAGGAUUUUUACCGUAACUUCAACCAGCGUCCCAUUACAAAUGAAUCUAUAAAGUGUCAUUAACUCUGUUAUGUCUGUGGUAUCAUUCCAUCACUUUUUAUUUUGUGCACAUCGGAGCAUAGUGUAAUUCAAGUCGUUAUGAGAAGCCCCUCCUUGAGGUUCCUUUUCAGCCUUCUAAAAAUUCUUACAAUUAAGAAACUUUUCAGGCCAGAUCAGAGAGUAAAGUAUUUUAUAGAGGAAAGCACAUAUGCAUGUCACGGAUGUAUACUAGAAGGGAACUAAAACGGAAAUAGCAGCAGGGGAUGAUCACGGGAACAGAAAGAUGUGUAAACCCGGUUAAAAUAGUCAAUAAAAAUACACUUUACUUACAGCAUUAAAAAAUACUCUGAUCAGGGAAGAGAAUAAUCGAAACAACGUAAAACUCAGCACAAUUUAAAAAAAAAAAAAAAAAAAAGUGUUCCUCAGUCAGCGAGCCAAAGUCCCAAGGGUCCAAAUCGGAAUCCGCCACACUUCUUGUGUCCACCAGUAGGGCCAGGCCGCCAGCGUCCUUCGUCGGGCCACUCCGCUCCCGCUUCUGCUAAGCACAGGAGAGCAGCGGCAGUCACUCUUCUUAAUUUACCGGGGCGUCUUUAUGAAUCUUAACAGUCGGAACUUACCCCGGGAGGGCAGAGCUCCAAACUCCGGCCGCCACCGUGGAAGAAGUCUGCCAUGAACUUACCAAGGGCCCGCUCUCUUCUCCUGCGGCCGCGCCCUGCCGCCAAUUGGCGCUCCAUGGCUCUCCCUGCCUGUAAAUGACCCAGAUUAUUUGUCUCAUUGAUAUUUUUCAAACAGUUAAAUCCCUGAACGAAUUACACUUUAUAAUAUAGAUUAGACUCUUAUUUUGAAAUUCGGAACGGACAACUUCCGGGAAGGAAGAUCGUACUGCUACUGCUUGCUGCAGAAAAGGUUAAUGAAAAGGUUAUCGUUUCCCAUCCAUCUUUAAAUUAGCAUCUAGCUGGAAGGCGAACAGGUAUGUUUGUGUAUUUUUCUUGUUGUUAACAUUUCGGACAAUUUGUAAAUUUAUUACUUGAUUGUUAACAAGUUUAUGAGUGAUCUAGCAGGCUGAUGCUAGCACCUCUUGUGCCUUUUCUGUGAAUUAAUUAGCAUUUAGGAAAUGUGGUUAUAUCAAGUGAAUGUUUAUUUUGUUUUAUGUUAUGAUUACAGCUCUUACGAUGUUUCUAUGGUAAAACUUGUGAAUAAAUGGGUUGGAAUACCCCACCAUGGACCAUCCGUAAUGAUCAUUGAGUGCAUCGUCUGAAUAAAGUCCGGCUGGAAUGCUACAGUAAGAGCUGAUCCCCCGCAUCAUCCUGCUGCCACGCUGCACCACGAGGACGAGUCACGGAGCUGUGUUGCUAUUCGUCUGGGAUUGACAAGACAUUUCACGGAGCAGCUCAGCGCCAUUCUAUGGGUCUUCUAGACAGAGACUUUAUGAUCAUCAUGCAGCUGGUUUAAUGGUUUGAUGUGACGGUCAGAAAAGGUAUGGAACAUUUCAAUAUAAUUGACAAGGAAAGGACAUUCAUGCUCAUCAGUGGUGGUUAAAAAGGAGAGAGGACGUCAACUACUGUGGACAUCUGCACUAAGGACAUUGCAUUAAGAAAUAACAGACAUGAAGUGAUAACAAGUGAAUUAGUCUUGUUUAUUGGUAUUUACCACCACCACUGUUUAUUUAUCAUUCUUUCUACUGACUCUAAGGGGGCAUUUGAUUCAAUUUGUAACUGUACGGUCUUAACAGUGUAUUGGAUUUGUGUUUAGCAUAAGAGGUUUACUUCACCACAUCAGUUUGCAACAGCUAGCUGGUUGCAUUCGUUAUUUUAUACAUUUCUUCUCAACAUUUGUGUUGGUUAUCUGCUUCUAUUUCAACUUGGUUUAAAGUGCAAAGAUUCUCCUCCCUUCUGUUAAUGCAGCCUGUAAGUUAUAGUAACCACAAGCAGCUCAUUAACUAAAGCCUGUAAAUUAGAUAAGUAAAUAACAUAAACAUAAAGGAAAUGGAGAAUCCCUCCUCACAAACAGAACUAGAGCAUCAGAUAGUUGACCUGCAGAAUAAAAUCGAAAGGCUUAAGGCGUCUCUUGAAGACACAUCAGAAACUACGGAAAUAGAACUUUUGGAGAAGGAAAUUCAACGCAGAGAAGAAACGUUGAACAACUUGCAAGGCGAGCUUAAAGAAGGCCUCCGACGCUCCACUCGAACAAAAAUCCCAACUCCAAAGGCUCUCGAAAUGCAACAGGAAGAAGCAAGAAAAAGAGAAAAAAAGUUCAUCUCAACAUACGAAAGAUGGAAGAUUCGAGCCCGAGAGUCAAGAGAGCAGCUCAAGUCAGACAUUAGUAAAGGAGAGCUGGCAUCUUUGAUGGAUGCUUUGGAGAAAGAGAAAGAAACUGUGUUAAACACUUACCUUGAAAUACGAAGUCACAUUACACCUUCUCCAGAAUUAAGACGUCACGUUGACAGUUGUGAGGCAGUUACAGCCGACAUUAUGAAAGUUACCUAUGAAAGAAUGUCAGACCUCGAUGGUGAUUAUGAUGCAGAACAAGCACAUCACCGUCUCAGGGAGCUGCUUAAGAACAGCUACGCACGCUCCAUCUAUGGAUCCACUGCAUCUAGAGUGACAAAGUCAAUCCGUAGUCACAAAAGCACUACUUUAACACUCAAAGGAUGCUAAGGAAGACGGCAAACCAGUGUCUCAGGAGGACAUCCUGUUCCUGGACAAACUCAAGAACCACAUCAGAAAGAACAGUCUAGGUCACUACGAGAUGCCGCUACCCUUUAAGGAGAGACCUACCUUACCUGACAACAAACAGCUUGCAGUCAUGCGCCUGAGCCAUCUAAAGAGGAAGCUCUUAAAGGAUAAAGGGUACAAAGAACAGUAUGUCAAGUUCAUGGAGGAGGUCAUAGAAAAGGGUGAUGCAGAGGAAGUCCACGAUGAUGGUAAAGAGGGCGAAAAAUGGUACAUACCUCAUCAUGGUGUAUUCCACGACAAGAAGCCAGGCAAACUGCGCGUGGUGUUUGACUGCUCUGCCAAGUACCAGGGAACCAGUCUGAACGAUCAUCUGCUCACUGGUCCUGACCUGAUGAACAAUCUCAACGGUGUACUCCUUCGCUUCCGGUUGCACUCCACUGCAUUGAUGUGCGACAUAGAGAAAAUGUUUCACCAAUUUCAUGUGAGGAAGUCGGACCAGGAUUACCUGCGCUUCCUUUGGUGGAAGAAAGGAGAUCUCAGUGCACAGCCCCAAGAAUACCGUAUGAGGGUGCAUAUCUUUGGCGCAGCCUCAUCGCCUGGUUGUGCGAACUACGGUUUGAAGCAUUUGGCUACAGAAAAUAAAGACCUAUACCCAUUAGGCUCUCAGUUCAUUCUGAGAAAUUUCUACGUCGACGAUGGAGUCACAAGUACAGACAGCUCAGAGAAGGCUAUCAAGUUAGCAGAAGAAGCCAGAAGACUUUGUGCCCUGGGUGGUCUUAGGCUCCACAAGUUUGUGUCCAACGACAAAGCUGUCCUGGAAAGCAUACCAGCAACUGAACGUGCAUCAGACAUUAAAGACCUCAACCUUGCCUUUGAUAACUUACCUUCAGAGAGAGCAUUAGGCAUCCAAUGGCACGUCAAAUCAGACUGCCUGAAGAUCAGCACCAACCUUAAGGAACAGCCUGCAACGCGUCGAGGCAUAUUGUCCAUUGUUGCAUCCCUGUACGAUCCCUUGGGUCUCAUAGCCCCUUUUUUGCUCAUUGGUAAGGAAGUGCUGCAGCAGAUGUGCUGCCAUGGAACAGGUUGGGACGACCCUCUAACCAACGAUCUUCGCCCACGGUGGGAGAAAUGGAAAAACGACAUCAACAACUUGGAGAGGAUAAAUAUACCCCGAAGUUAUGCCCCGGCAGAUUUCGGAAAGGUUAUCAAACGUGAGUUACAUCACUUUUCCGACGCAAGCACUACUGGCUAUGGACAGUGCUCAUAUCUGAGGCUUAGCAAUGAAGAAGGAGACAUCCACUGUGCACUAGUCAUGGCCAAAUCUCGCGUUGCCCCAACAAAGGUUACCACGAUCCCAAGAUUGGAGUUGACAGCUGCAGUCAUCUCUGUGAAAACCAGCAAUGUUUUGAAGGAAGAACUUGGAUGUGCGGACAUUGAAGAGCAUUUUUGGACCGAUUCCAAGGUUGUACUAGGGUACAUCAAUAACGAGGCUCGACGUUUUCAUACAUUCGUAGCCAACCGUAUCCAGAAGAUACAUCUCUACACGAAUCGAAGGCAAUGGAGAUACGUCCCUACCGACCAGAAUCCUGCGGAUCGUGCUUCUAGAGGUUGUUUCGUCAAUGAGCUAAUAUCAUCGAACUGGUUUACCGGCCCUGCAUUUCUAUGGGAAAAGGGAGUUGACCUCUCAGAAGAGGUGGCUCCGGAACUGUCAGUCGGAGAUCCAGAAGUUAAGGAAACACGGACUCUAAACACAGAAACUGUAGAACAAGAUUCUCUUACCUAUCGGCUGACAAAGUUCUCGUCCUGGACUCGCGCCAUCUGUGCAGUGGCUCGCAUUCUUCGAAGGAUUAACAAGGAUAAGUCAAUCGGCCUCUCUACAGUGCAUGAAAGAGAAGAAGCAGAGCGCCUCAUCAUCAAAGAUCUGCAGAGACAAACAUACUCGGAGGAAGUGCGGCUAUUGAAGAAAGGUUGUCAGCUGCCACCUCAUAACAAGCUACAUCACCUCAACCCCUUCUUGGACAACAAUGGUGUGAUUAAGGUGGGAGGUCGACUCUGUGAUUCAAACCUUCCUCUCUCAGUUAAACACCCUACCAUCAUUCCAAAGGAACAUCAUGUUACAAGGAUGAUCAUAGCAUACUGUCAUGAAGAAGUCAAGCAUCAAGGCAAGGGGAUGACUCUCAGUGCAAUUAGGACAAGAGGUUACUGGAUACCAGGAAUUGGUAGGACGGUUGCAUCCUAUCUUCGCCAAUGUGUAGUUUGUCGGAAGCUUCGGAGACGGACAGAAGAACAGAAAAUGGCCGAUCUCCCUCCAGAGCGAGUAAAUCCAUCUCCACCUUUUACCUACUGUGGAAUGGAUUGCUUUGGACCCUUCUAUAGCAAGCAAGGACGUAGUGUGCGAAAACGAUAUGGUCUCCUUUUCACCUGCUUCUCCUCUAGAGCCAUCCAUAUGGAAAUGCUGGAGGACCUAUCUACAGACUCAUUCAUAAUUGGGCUGCGCUGCUUCAUUGCUAUACGUGGAGCCGUGCGCCAGAUCAAAUCUGACCAAGGCAGUAACUUCCUAGGAGCCAAGAAUGAACUGAUGGUGAUAAACUGACGAACUUCCUUUCUAAGAAGCAGUGUGACUUCAUCCUAAAUGCUCCUGGUUCAAGUCAUGUUGGUGGAGUGUGGGAGCGUCAAAUUAGAACAGUCAGGAGUGUUCUCAACGCAACCCUUGGUCUCUCACCUGGAAACCUACCUGAUGCUUCCCUCCGAGCAUUCUUCUAUGAAGCAAUGACGAUAGUUAACAGUCGUCCUCUCACUAUUGAAAACCUACAUGAUCCCAACAGUCUUGAGCCACUGACACCAAACCACUUACUUACCCUGAAGUCUACCAUGGCCCUUCCUCCCCCCGGCAAGUUCAUAAGAGAAGAUAUGUAUGCGAGAAAGAGAUGGCGCCACGUACAAUAUUUGGCCGAGCAGUUCUGGAGCCGUUGGCGGAAAGAGUACUUGGCCAACAUUGCCUUUAGACAACGCUGGCACACCCCAAAGAGAAACCUGCAGAUCGGGGAUAUAGUCAUAAUGAAGGAUGAAGACUUGCCCAGAAAUGAAUGGAGGUUGGGAAGAGUCGUAGAGACUACAAUGGACAGAGAUGGACUGGUUAGGAGAGUAAAGCUAUGUCUAGGUGACAGGAAACUUGGCAAAAAUGGUGAACGUCUCACUAAGCAGUCAGUGCUCGAACGGCCAGUUCAAAAACUAGUCUUAUUGUUGGAAAAUGACUAGUUCAUUCCUUGCAUACUAUGCUUCUGUUGUUUGGUCAUUAUUUGUAUUAUGAAAUCAUUUGUGUUCUCUCUUCCUAUGGUUAUGGAGUUAUGAUGUUUGGAACACUAAUGAUUUGGUGGGAGUGUAAAUGACCCAGAUUAUUUGUCUCAUUGAUAUUUUUCAAACAGUUAAAUCCCUGAACGAAUUACACCUUAUAAUAUAGAUUAGACUCUUAUUUUGAAAUUCGGAACGGACAACUUCCGGGAAGGAAGAUCGUACUGCUACUGCUUGCUGCAGAAAAGGUUAAUGAAAAGGUUAUCGUUUCCCAUCCAUCUUUAAAUUAGCAUCUAGCUGGAAGGCGAACAGCUCUUACGAUGUUUCUAUGGUAAAACUUGUGAAUAAAUGGGUUGGAAUACCCCACCAUGGACCAUCCGUAAUGAUCAUUGAGUGCAUCGUCUGAAUAAAGUCCGGCUGGAAUGCUACACUGCCUUUGGCUGCGCCUGCCGCCACGCUACUCAAUGGCUCUCUCCUCCUGCCCUCCGUCCGGCCACGUCCCCUUUUCCGACCUGACAGGCCCUCUUUUUGGCCUCUCGCUGCCAACAAAGGAGGCCUGAUUGAUUGCUGUCCCCUGUGCCCUCCAGGUUAUCUAAUUAGUUAGGGAAAGCAG